rnacentral:rRNA from 1 species
UACGAGGGGGGCAAAUGUUGUUCGGAAUCACUGGGCGUAAAGGGAGCGUAGGCGGGCUUCUAAGUUAGGUGUUUAAUCCCAGGGCCCAACCCUGGUCAGGCACCUAAAACUGGGAGUCUUGAAUAGUGGAGAGGACGAUGGAAUUGGGGGUGUAGCGGUGGAAUGCGUAGAGAUCCCCAAGAACACCAGUUGCGAAGGCGGUCGUCUGGACACAUAUUGACGCUGAGGCUCGAAAGCAUGGGGAGCAAACAGG